CCCUGCAUUACCAAAUUUCAGAAAUCUUAUUCUGAUCAAACAUCAUCCUUCAUAUUUAAGGAUGUGAACCCAGAUGUUUUUUCAUCUUGAAAAGGUUGAAAAUGCUGAUAAAGUUCCAUGGAAGAAGAAAACAGAAAUAUUCUCACGAGUUUUUUCGAAGUUGGAUUCAAUAUUUUCCUCUGACAUUCUAGGACUCACAGAAAUACGAUGAAAAGAGCAAAAGAUGCUGUUCACUCUUUUGCAGAAGUGGGUUUUUAAUGCACCUCCCAAAGCAAGCGGUUCAGAAGCCUAUGGAGGCCACAAAUUUUUCCAAGAAAAAGGGCCCAACUGCAAAAUCUUCUGGUUUUGAUAUUGUCACAUUUGAAAGCUCCUUAAAAAGAGGGCCUUUUUGGCCUAAACUUGAGGAUAAGGACAAGUAUUUUGAACUCGAGAAGAUGAUGAUAGGCAUGGUGCUCCCUCACCGUUCUGGCUUCCAACCAAGGUGAAGUUGUGGUCCAAUUCCUUUCUUCUUUCUUUUUUUAAUCUAUAGAUUCAUAUAUGUUUAGAAAAGUUAUUAUUAUUUUUUCUCAAUAGUGGUAUAAGAACUAAGAAGGUUUGAAAGGACAUGGUUUUUCUUGGGAAUCUGCCUGUGUGUGGAUGGAUUGAAACUUUAGGAAGUGGGAGUGAUUGUUUUAGAUUUAUUAUUGAUUUGAGGAAUAUUUGGAGUGGGAAAUGAUUUUAUUAAGUGGUUGCUUUGUUUGGAUAAGAGAGAUGAAGAGAGGGAUAUUGAGGGAUGUAUGGGACGAGUGAUACUUGGAUGUAUGUUAAGAUAUACAAAUCUCUACGUAUCCCACUAUCAUUAUACACAUAAAAA